UGAACAUAUGCAAAGGCAAAUAAAAUAGUGACUCUGAGGCACAAGCGAUGUCCUCGUCGUCGGGUUGCACAUGAUUGGAAUGAAAAUCCAUUCCGUAAACAAGGUCAUCUUUCUUUGCACUUUUCUUGAUCUUCAUGAUAAUAAACUCCUCCUUUAUUUCUUUCUUCCUUUUCACUUAUUAUUUCUGUUUCUUUUUCUCAAUAAUUUUUCUCUUUCUUUCCUUUCUUUCUUUCUUUUGUUUUUCAUCUUUUUCUCCGAACCUCCUCUGAACACCACACCAUAAAAAUUAGUUUUUAGAUCCUUCCAAAUGCUCUCCACAAUUUUUCUCAUGCGAACCAAGGCAAAGAAGCCCUAGGCCGAUCGGCCUGGCCUCUCCUUUCCUCCCCACUGGCUCUUCUUUCUGGUGACGCUUCCUUAUCUUGUAUCUUUCCUUACUUUUCAUAAAACUCGACCAGAAAUGGAAUAGAUCUGCAUAUAUUGGGUUAUGUUCAAGGAAUAGGUAAUAAAAAUUGGAAAAUUUAUGAUUUGGGUUUAAGAAUUCAGUAGAAAAUAUGAUUGUUCCAGUGAAGCACUCUCAUUACUGAAUAUUGAUGAGGCUAGCAAUCAGAGUAUGAUCAAUGCUCAGAAUUAAAACAAACCAAGAGAGAGUGAUCCUAACUCAAUUCAAAGAGUCAAUUUUUUCUUAUGGUGGUACGAAUAAAUCUUUUUAAGUAUUAGGUAGGAUAAAUAAUAACUCUCAACCUGGUUGAAAGAUCUUGAUUAAUCUUGUUUUUGUAGAGGUUUUAGAUAUUAAAUCACCUCCAAUUGAAGCCUUACUCAUAAAGUAUAAUCAAAACCAAAGUACUAGAUCAUCAUGAAGCAUGUGUAUUGCAUAAACAAACCGAUUACUAAACUCCACAACAAAGAUUUAGAAUUCAAGACAAUGCUCAUGAUCCAAAGUUGCAAAGACAAAAUAAAAGACAAGCAAGCCAAGGUAGACACUAAAAACACUCGCACGAUCCACGAAUUUUAUUCAUGCUUCUUCUCACAAACACACUAAAGUAGUGAUCUAGACCUAAGUCUUCCUAGAAGCUUAAGAAGACUACUACUUUAUCUACUUUUGAUUGAAAUAAAAAUACUAAUUUAGACUCUCACACGACUCAACUCAACUCAACUCGACCAAACUAGAUCCAAAAACUCAUACGAGCGACGAUCCCCCCCGAACGCUUAAAAUCUACGACGUCCUCAUCAUAACCACAUGAAGUACAAAGGGAAAGACACUCGUAAACGCACUAGUGACGCUGCCCACACCGCUUGCAUAUGGGACGGUUGCUGCUUCCUUCGCCUUGAGCUCUAUUCUUCCUCAUGUUGCCACACAUCCCAAAGAGCUUCCUCAUGUUCCUCUGCAAGAACUUGAAGUCAUCCUCCUGACGGUGAUAAUUGUCUUCUACCUUCUGAUACAAAGCUUGCAAGGCUUGCAUGAUGUCGUCGACGGUGUCGAAGAGGUAAUGGAUGUUCUUCUUGCAAGUGGUGCAACAUGUACGAUCAUGCUCCUCCGGUUCUGAUCCGUCGUCUCCUAGAUCCUUUUCUUUGCCCUUGUCUUGAUGGUGGCCAUCUUGCUCCUUACUCUCCUUCUUGUCUUCAUCCC
rnacentral:lncRNA from 1 species